ACCUUAUCCUAAGACUCUGCAGGAGGCUGAAGUUUCUGUGAUUGACCAUAAUCUGUGUCAUAACCAGCUGACAACAAUCAUUAAUCAAAUGAACUGGCCAAAAAAACGGACAAAUGCAACCAUCACCAACAAUAUGAUUUGUGCUGGAAAUUCUGCUAGUGUUGUAGGCAUAUACUGUGUACGAUGAUUAUUACUCAUUACUACACAGACCAUGUCUGGCAAGGUUCACUGUAUCUUUAAACAUCUAAUACUUGAUUUUUUUUUUUUUUUUUUUUCAGUUUGUAUUUCUGUUUGAUGAUUGUUAGCAUGAAAAAGCAAAACAGGUGGAUGAAAACACAAUCUCUUUCUGUCUGCAGGGGGAUUCUGGAGGUCCAGUUAUGAGUCAGUACUGUUCAAAAUGGGUUCAGUUUGGCAUCACCAGUUUUUUUUUUAACUGUAGUUCAAACAUCGUGCCCAAUGUGUUCACCCGCGUCUCACAGUAUCAGCAAUGGAUUACAGACACUAUCCAGAACCAUCCAAGCCAGGACCUCCCACAAUUCGUUAACAUAAGCCUUCCAUGCCCAAGGCCAGGAGCAAGGGGCAAAAUAUUGAGAUGGUGCUGCUGUUUAAAAGGUGAGGAGUAGCUCUGAAGACUCUUCUAGGAUUACCUUCCUUGGACACACGCCAGUCACAUGAUUACGUCUCUUCAACUUCCAGGAUUAAAGAUUGCUUCUAAAGCUCUGCAAUGUCAUUAAUCAGUUCCACUGCAAACUAUUUCACAUAACUGCAAUGUUUAAUGAGCACUUUUCUCUCUCUUUUUCUCUCAUCUGUUCCUCUCUUCUUUUCUUUUUUUUUUUUUUGCAUAAUAUUUGCCAAUAAAUAUCAAGCAUAAAUCUCAAACAUAAAUGUGUCUUUACACCAACUCAAAAUGGCUUUAAUUUGAAAUUUAGUUUGUGAUCGGCAUUUGUUUUUUUUGUUUAGUUUUUUUUGACAAAUGAGACAAUUUCAAAUGAAUCUAUUUUUUGUCAAAAUAAAUGGUAACACUUUACAAUAUAUGCACUAAUAUGAAAUAAUUCAUGAUUAUCUAAUGCACAGCUAAUAUUUAGUUAAUCUGUGACUAAUGAUUAACUAAACUAAUUUUAUCUCCU